CCUACGGGAGGCUGCAGUGAGGAAUAUUGGUCAAUGGGCGUGAGCCUGAACCAGCCAAGUAGCGUGAAGGAUGACUGCCCUAUGGGUUGUAAACUUCUUUUAUAAGGGAAUAAUGUGCGCUACGUGUGGCGUUUUGUAUGUUCCCUAUGAAUAAGGAUCGGCUAAAUUCGUGCCAGCCGCCGCGGUUAUUAGGAGGAUCCGAGCGUUAUCCGGAUUUAUUUGGGUUAAAGGGAGCGUUGGGGGGUUGUUAAGGUAGGUGGGAAAGUUGGGGGGUCAACCGUAAAAUUGCAGUUGAAACUGGCAGUCUUGAGUACAGUAGAGGUAGGCGGAAUGCGUGGUGUAGCGGUGAAAUGCUUAGAUAUCACGAAGAACUCCGAUUGCGAAGGCAGCAUACUGGAGUGCAACUGACACUGAAGCUCGAAAGUGUGGGUAUCAAACAGGAUUAGAUACCCGAGUAGUC
rnacentral:rRNA from 1 species